rnacentral:rRNA from 1 species
AUUGAACGCUGGCGGCAUGCCUUACACAUGCAAGUCGAACGGUAACAGGUCUUCGGAUGCUGACGAGUGGCGAACGGGUGAGUAAUACAUCGGAACGUGCCUAGUAGUGGGGGAUAACUACUCGAAAGAGUGGCUAAUACCGCAUGAGAUCUACGGAUGAAAGCAGGGGAUCGCAAGACCUUGUGCUACUAGAGCGGCCGAUGGCAGAUUAGGUAGUUGGUGCGAUAAAAGCUUGCCAAGCCGACGAUCUGUAGCUGGUCUGAGAGGACGAUCAGCCACACUGGGACUGAGACACGGCCCAGACUCCUACGGGAGGCAGCAGUGGGGAAUUUUGGACAAUGGGCGCAAGCCUGAUCCAGCAAUGCCGCGUGCAGGAUGAAGGCCUUCGGGUUGUAAACUGCUUUUGUACGGAACGAAAAGCCCUGGGUUAAUACCCUGGGGUCAUGACGGUACCGUAAGAAUAAGCACCGGCUAACUACGUGCCAGCAGCCGCCGUAACAC